rnacentral:rRNA from 1 species
UAGUCCACGCCGUAAACGAUGAGCGCUAAGCAUCGGAUUUUUUCGGUGUUGAAGCUAACGCGUUAAGCGCUCCGCCUGAGGACUACGAUCGCAAGAUUAAAACUCAAAGGAAUUGACGGGACCCGCGCAAGCGGUGGAGUAUGUUGUUUAAUUCGAUGCAACGCGAGAAACCUUACCACUUCUUGACAUGUUGGUUAAAUCUUAAUGAAAGUUAAGAGUCGGUUCGGCCGGACCAUCACAGGUGUUGCAUGGCUGUCGUCAGCUCGUGUCGUGAGAUGUCAGAUUAAGUUCUGUAACGAGCGCAACCCUUACCUUUAUUUGCUAACAGGUCGUGCUGAGGACUAUAGAGGGACUGCCAGUCAUAAACUGGAGGAAGGAGAGGAUGAUGUCAAGUCAUCAUGGGCCCUUAUGAAGUGGGGCUACAAACGUACUACAAUGGUAAGCUACAACGAGAAGCAAUAUCGCAAGGGUGG